AUGUUGACCUCGGAUCAGGUAGGGAUACCCGCUGAACUUAAGCAUAUCAAUAAGCGGAGGAAAAGAAACCAACCGGGAUUGCCUCAGUAACGGCGAGUGAAGCGGCAAGAGCUCAAAUUUGAAAUCUGGCC
rnacentral:rRNA from 1 species